UACGUAGGGUGCGAGCGUUGUCCGGAAUUAUUGGGCGUAAAGAGCUCGUAGGCGGUUUGUCGCGUCGGAUGUGAAAGCCCGGGGCUUAACUCCGGGUCUGCAUUCGAUACGGGCAGGCUAGAGUUCGGUAGGGGAGAUCGGAAUUCCUGGUGUAGCGGUGGAAAUGACGCAGAUAUCAGGAGGAACACCGGUGGCGAAGGCGGGGUCUCUGGGCAGUAACUGACGCUGAGGAGCGAAAGCGUGGGGAGCGAACAGG
rnacentral:rRNA from 1 species